rnacentral:rRNA from 1 species
GCGAACGGGUGAGUAACACGUGGGCAAUCUGCCCUUCACUCUGGGACAAGCCCUGGAAACGGGGUCUAAUACCGGAUACGAGUUCAGGAGGCAUCUUCUGGACUGGAAAGCUCCGGCGGUGAAGGAUGAGCCCGCGGCCUAUCAGCUUGUUGGUGGGGUAACGGCCCACCAAGGCGACGACGGGUAGCCGGCCUGAGAGGGCGACCGGCCACACUGGGACUGAGACACGGCCCAGACUCCUACGGGAGGCAGCAGUGGGGAAUAUUGCACAAUGGGCGAAAGCCUGAUGCAGCGACGCCGCGUGAGGGAUGACGGCCUUCGGGUUGUAAACCUCUUUCAGCAGGGAAGAAGCGAAAGUGACGGUACCUGCAGAAGAAGCGCCGGCUAACUACGUGCCAGCAGCCGCGGUAAUACGUAGGGCGCAAGCGUUGUCCGGAAUUAUUGGGCGUAAAGAGCUCGUAGGCGGCUUGUCACGUCGGGUGUGAAAGCCCGGGGCUUAACCCCGGGUCUGCAUCCGAUACGGGCAGGCUAGAGUGUGGUAGGGGAGAUCGGAAUUCCUGGUGUAGCGGUGAAAUGCGCAGAUAUCAGGAGGAACACCGGUGGCGAAGGCGGAUCUCUGGGCCAUUACUGACGCUGAGGAG